GGAAUUCGUAGUCAAGAAUUGGUAGGAAUCCAAAUAAAUAAAGGAAUCCUCAUCGGAUCUUCAAUUCAAUUUUAGAUUUUAGUCAAGAAUGGGUAGGAAUCCAGAUCAUUUUUAAUUAAUUAAUAGUACUUAUAAGGGUAAGGUGCUUACAUGUGUUGGUGCACAGGAUUUUAAAUAGUCAAAAUUGUUAUCUUUUUAGGAGUCAUUGGAGCCUAUGUCUAUUGAAUUCUCAAAUGAAAUUUCAAUUGCAUUCCUAUUAACCAUGAUAGUUCAAUAUGAUUUUCUUGGAUUCUUUUUUUGGUGAUAUGUGGUUAUUGCAA
rnacentral:misc_RNA from 1 species